UAAAAAAUUUGGCGGUAUUUUAAUCUAAUUAGAGGAACUUGUUUUAUAAUUGAUAAUCCUCAUUGAAUCUUACUUAAAUUUGUUUAAUUUGUAUAUCGUUGUCAUAAGAAUAUCUUUAAAAAGAAAAAAUUUUCUAGUAUAAAAAAUAUUUAGUAUGUCAGAUCAAGGUGCAGUUUAUAUUUAAGUAAAAAUGAGUUACAAUUAAUUUUAUUAAUUUAUGGAUCAUAAAUUUAAAAAUUUAUAUGAAGGUGGAUUUAAUAGUAAAUUUUUAGAGAUAAAAAAAUUGAUUUUAGUUCUAAAAUGUGC
rnacentral:rRNA from 1 species